AAGACUAUACUUUCAGGGAUCAUUUCUAUAGUUUGUUAUUAGAGAAGUUUCUCUGAACGUAAAGAAUUACCCAAAUUA
ensembl:snoRNA U3 Small nucleolar RNA U3